UACGAAGGGGGCUAGCGUUGUUCGGAAUUACUGGGCGUAAAGCGCACGUAGGCGGAUAUUUAAGUCAGGGGUGAAAUCCCGGGGCUCAACCCCGGAACUGCCUUUGAUACUGGGUAUCUGGAGUAUGGAAGAGGUGAGUGGAAUUCCGAGUGUAGAGGUGAAAUUCGUAGAUAUUCGGAGGAACACCAGUGGCGAAGGCGGCUCACUGGCCCGGUACUGACGCUGAGGUGCGAAAGCGUGGGGAGCAAACAGG
rnacentral:rRNA from 1 species